GCCCAGGUGGCUCAGUCGGUUAAGCAUUUGACUCUUGAUCUUAGCUCAGGUCUCAAAUCUCUGGGUCGUGGGUUAAAGUCCCAUGUUGGGCU
rnacentral:tRNA from 1 species